GAUGAACGCUGGCGGCGUGCCUAAUACAUGCAAGUCGAGCGAACGGACGAGAAGCUUGCUUCUCUGAUGUUAGCGGCGGACGGGUGAGUAACACGUGGAUAACCUACCUAUAAGACUGGGAUAACUUCGGGAAACCGGAGCUAAUACCGGAUAAUAUUUUGAACCGCAUGGUUCAAAAGUGAGAGACGGUCUUGCUGUCACUUAUAGAUGGAUCCGCGCUGCAUUAGCUAGUUGGUAAGGUAACGGCUUACCAAGGCAACGAUGCAUAGCCGACCUGAGAGGGUGAUAGGCCACACUGGAACUGAGACACGGUCCAGACUCCUACGGGAGGCAGCAGUAGGGAAUCUUCCGCAAUGGGCGAAAGCCUGACGGAGCAACGCCGCGUGAGUGAUGAAGGUCUUCGGAUCGUAAAACUCUGUUAUUAGGGAAGAACAUAUGUGUAAGUAACUGUGCACAUCUUGACGGUACCUAAUCAGAAAGCCACGGCUAACUACGUG
rnacentral:rRNA from 1 species